UGGCGGACGGGUGAGUAACACGUACGUGACCUGACGCGAAGUGGGGGAUACCCGUCCGAAAGGGCGGCUAAUACCGCAUGUGGUCAUUCGGGAGACCGGGUGAGUAAAGGGAGUAAUCCCGCUUGGUGAGGGGCGUGCGGCCGAUUAGCUAGUUGGUGGGGUAAAGGCCUACCAAGGCGACGAUCGGUAGCUGGGCUGAGAGGCCGAACAGCCACACUGGGACUGAGAUACGGCCCAG
rnacentral:rRNA from 1 species